GAGUCGGCAGACGGGUGAGUAACAUGUCGGGAAUCUGCCUUGUGGUUCAGGACAACAUUGGGAAACCGAUGCUAAUACUGGAUAAGCCCUUACGGGGAAAGUUUUAAUGCCAUAAGAUGAGCCCGCAUUUGAUUAGUUAGUUGGUGAGGUAAUGGCUCACCAAGACAAUGAUCAAUAGCUGAUCUGAGAGGAUGAUCAGCCACACUGGGACUGAGACACGGCCCAGACUCCUACGGGAGGCAGCAGUGGGGAAUCUUGCACAAUGGAGGAAACUCUGAUGCAGCGAUGCCGCGUGAGUGAAGAAGGCCUUUGGGUUGUAAAGCUCUUUUGUAGGGGAAGAUAAUGACUGUACCCUAAGAAUAAGGUCCGGCUAACUUCGUGCCAGCAGCCGCGGUAAUACGAAGGGACCUAGCGUAGUUCGGAAUUACUGGGCGUAAAGCGCGCGUAGGCCGUUGAGUUAGUUAAUUGUGAAAUCCCAAAGCUUAACUUUGGAACUGCAAUUAAAACUGCUCGACUAGAGUUUGAUAGAGGANAGCGGAAUACAUAGUGUAGAGGUGAAAUUCGUAGAU
rnacentral:rRNA from 1 species